CAGCAAAGAUCCUAUAAGACUGGGAUAACUUCGGGAAACCGGAGCUAAUGCCGGAUAACAUUUGGGAACCGCAUGGUUCUAAAGUAAAAGAUGGUUUUGCUAUCACUUAUAGAUGGACCCGCGCCGUAUUAGCUAGUUGGUAAGGUAACGGCUUACCAAGGCAACGAUACGUAGCCGACCUGAGAGGGUGAUCGGCCACACUGGAACUGAGACACGGUCCAGACUCCUACGGGAGGCAGCAGUAGGGAAUCUUCCGCAAUGGACGAAAGUCUGACGGAGCAACGCCGCGUGAGUGAUGAAGGUUUUCGGAUCGUAAAACUCUGUUAUUAGGGAAGAACAAAUGUGUAAGUAACUGUGCACAUCUUGACGGUACCUAAUCAGAAAGCCACGGCUAACUACGUGCCAGCAGCCGCGGUAAUACGUAGGUGGCAAGCGUUAUCCGGAAUUAUUGGGCGUAAAGCGCGCGUAGGCGGUUUCUUAAGUCUGAUGUGAAAGCCCACGGCUCAACCGUGGAGGGUCAUUGGAAACUGGGAAACUUGAGUGCAGAAGAGGAAAGUGGAAUUCCAUGUGUAGCGGUGAAAUGCGCAGAGAUAUGGAGGAACACCAGUGGCGAAGGCGACUUUCUGGUCUGUAACUGACGCUGAUGUGCGAAAGCGUGGGGAUCAAACAGGAUUAGAUACCCUGGUAGUCCACGCCGUAAACGAUGAGUGCUAAGUGUUAGGGGGUUUCCGCCCCUUAGUGCUGCAGCUAACGCAUUAAGCACUCCGCCUGGGGAGUACGACCGCAAGGUGAAACUCAGAG
rnacentral:rRNA from 1 species